rnacentral:rRNA from 1 species
GAUCCUACGGGAGGCAGCAGUAGGGAAUCUUCCACAAUGGACGAAAGUCUGAUGGAGCAACGCCGCGUGAGUGAAGAAGGGUUUCGGCUCGUAAAGCUCUGUUGGUAGUGAAGAAAGAUAGAGGUAGUAACUGGCCUUUAUUUGACGGUAAUUACUUAGAAAGUCACGGCUAACUACGUGCCAGCAGCCGCGGUAAUACGUAGGUGGCAAGCGUUGUCCGGAUUUAUUGGGCGUAAAGCGAGUGCAGGCGGUUUACUAAGUCUGAUGUGAAAGACUUUGGGUCA